CUUGGUCAUUUAGAGGAAGUAAAAGUCGUAACAAGGUCUCCGUAGGUGAACCUGCGGAGGGAUCAUUACAAGAACGCCCGGGCUUCGGCCUGGUUAUUCAUAACCCUUUGUUGUCCGACUCUGUUGCCUCCGGGGCGACCCUGCCUUCGGGCGGGGGCUCCGGGUGGACACUUCAAACUCUUGCGUAACUUUGCAGUCUGAGUAAACUUAAUUAAUAAAUUAAAACUUUUAACAACGGAUCUCUUGGUUCUGGCAUCGAUGAAGAACGCAGCGAAAUGCGAUAAGUAAUGUGAAUUGCAGAAUCCAGUGAAUCAUCGAAUCUUUGAACGCACAUUGCGCCCCCUGGUAUUCCGGGGGGCAUGCCUGUUCGAGCGUCAUUUCACCACUCAAGCCUCGCUUGGUAUUGGGCAACGCGGUCCGCCGCGUGCCUCAAAUCGUCCGGCUGGGUCUUCUGUCCCCUAAGCGUUGUGGAAACUAUUCGCUAAAGGGUGUUCGGGAGGCUACGCCGUAAAACAACCCCAUUUCUAAGGUUGACCUCGGAUCAGGUAGGGAUACCCGCUGAACUUAAGCAUAUCAAUAAGCGGAGGAAAAGAAGCCAACAGGGAUUGCUCUAGUAACGGCGAGUGAAGCAGCAAUAGCUCAAAUUUGAAAUCUGGCGUCUUCGACGUCCGAGUUGUAAUUUGUAGAGGAUGCUUCUGAGUGGCCACCGACCUAAGUUCCUUGGAACAGGACGUCAUAGAGGGUGAGAAUCCCGUAUGCGGUCGGAAAGGCGCUCUAUACGUAGCUCCUUCGACGAGUCGAGUUGUUUGGGAAU
rnacentral:sRNA from 1 species